rnacentral:rRNA from 1 species
UACGUAGGCAGCAAGCGUUGUUCGGAAUUACUGGGCGUAAAGAGUGUGUAGGCGGUGCUCUAAGUUCGGUGUGAAAUCCCCCGGCUCAACUGGGAGGGUGCGCCGGAAACUGGAAUGCUUGAGCGUGGGAGAGGAAAGCGGAAUUCCUGGUGUAGCGGUGAAAUGCGUAGAUAUCAGGAGGAACACCUGCGGUGUAGACGGCUUUCUGGACCAUUGCUGACGCUGAGACACGAAAGCGUGGGGAGCAAACAGG